AGGAAACUGAAGUUCAGAGAGAUUUCGUGAUUUGCUCAUAGACCUAGGACUGGAUCAUACACUUAGAUCAUGGUGGAGACACGCAUAGAACCUCACACACUCAAGACCUCCCCAUGGCAUACCAAAGAACCAGUAACUUACAAGAACCGAAAGAGCACCGAUGCACUUGAGAUUUUCUAAGUCUUCAUUUGAUUGUUUUUGUAGAGACUUAUUCUACUGGAAGUAUAUGAAUACUAACUCAAUGACAAGUCAUUAAACUCGAACUUUAUAAAAAUAUGAUUCUAAGGGCCACAAUGUCCA
rnacentral:lncRNA from 1 species